rnacentral:tRNA from 2 species
GGAGGAGUGCCGGAGUGGCCAAACGGCGCCGACUUGAAAUCGGAUGGCCCGAGAGGGCACGGGGGUUCGAAUCCCUCCUCCUCCG